rnacentral:rRNA from 1 species
UACGUAGGGUGCAAGCGUUGUCCGGAAUUAUUGGGCGUAAAGAGCUCGUAGGCGGUUAGUCGCGUCUGCUGUGAAAACUCGGGGCUUAACUCCGGGCCUGCAGUGGGUACGGGCUGACUAGAGUCGCGGUAGGGGAGACUGGAAUUCCUGGUGUAGCGGUGAAAUGCGCAGAUAUCAGGAGGAACACCGGUGGCGAAGGCGGGUCUCUGGGCCGUAACUGACGCUGAGGAGCGAAAGCGUGGGGAGCGAACAGG